rnacentral:tRNA from 1 species
CAGAUAGAAGCUUUAUAGAAGUAUUUUAUUUACAUUAAAGGGAUUGUUUUUAGGACAUUAUCUGA